CCAGAUCUCGCAAAAGGGGAGGAAGGCCUUCACCGCUGAACCCGAGCUUUGCCAUUUCGAAGUGCUGAGUCACCUCGUCCUCUCAGGGUCAGACACUUUCACGCAGGAAACGUCCUGCAGAGCACCGCAGCGGGAGCACCGAGCUGGUAUGUCCCUAUUUGAAUGACAAGACGGGAGAAGAGACAGCGCAUAUCUAUGCUAACUUAUUUUUCCUCAUAAGCUGGUGUUUAAGAGACUUCUGACAGCAGAAAUCAGCUUUCUGGGUGGUAAUUUAUUCUAGAACCGAUGUGCCAGCGUUUCCUUCUGUGUGCUUUGAGUAGGAGCAGGAACAACGGAUCUCUCCAAGCAUGGGCAGACGGAGAGCUGCAACCCUUGGACCAACCAACGCCUGCCAGUGGGCGCCUGCAUCCCACGCCUGCAUCCCGCGUGCAGGCUACUGGCAGGUGCUCUGUGUCUCACUCCAUCUUUACCUGCCCUGUAAAGGAGGAACUGUUGUUUUUAGUCUCCUGGAGCAGCCGCGCCUUCCCACAGCACUCAGACUUGAGGAAGCUUAAGAAGCUGAGACCAGAGAGGGCGAUGUCCACCUUGGUGACGAAGCACUCUAGAGGCUGCCGCCACACUUAAAAAGUGACCAGUCACCAACAACUCAUCUUAAGUACAGGAAGAAUGCCAGCAGCUGAAUGAAAUUCUUGCUUUCCCUGGUGAACAACGAAAUGUGGAAACUCAG
rnacentral:lncRNA from 1 species